rnacentral:rRNA from 1 species
AUAGUUUGAUGCUGGCUCAGAACGAACGCUGGCGGCGCGUUUUAAGCAUGCAAGUCGAACGGGAUCCAUGGCUUCGGCUGUGGUGAGAGUGGCGAACGGGUGAGUAACACGUAGGUAAUCUACCUUUGGGUGGGGGAUAGCCCAUGGAAACAUGGAGUAAUACCGCAUGAUGCCGUAAGGUUAAAGGAGCAAUUGUUCCGCCUGGGGAUGAGCCUGCGGUCCAUUAGCUAGUUGGUGAGGUAAGAGCUCUACCAAGGCAACGAUGGAUAGCCGGCCUGAGAGGGUGAACGGCCACACUGGGACUGAGACACGGCCCAGACUCCUACGGGAGGCAGCAGCUAAGAAUCUCCCGCAAUGGGCGAAAGCCUGACGGAGCGACGCCGCGUGGAUGAAGAAGGCCGGAAGGUUGUAAAAUCCUUUUCUCUGAGAAGAAUAAUGUGGAGAGUGGAACGCUCUGCAGAUGAUGUUAUCAGAGGAAUAAGCCCCGGCCAAUUACGUGCCAGCAGCCGCGGUAACACGUAAGGGGCGAGCGUUGUUCGGAAUUAUUGGGCGUAAAGGGCGUGUAGGCGGCUUAGUAAGCUUGGUGUAAAAGGUGUCGGCCCAACCGACAUUUCGCGCCGGGAACUGCUAGGCUUGAGUUUAGGAGGGGGAGCUGGAAUUCCUGGUGUAGGGGUGAAAUCUGUAGAUAUCAGGAAGAACACCGGAGGCGAAGGCGAGCUCCUGGCCAUAGAC